rnacentral:rRNA from 1 species
UGGGGAAUUUUGGACAAUGGGCGAAAGCCUGAUCCAGCAAUGCCGCGUGUGUGAAGAAGGCCUUCGGGUUGUAAAGCACUUUUGUCCGGAAAGAAAUCCUUGGCUCUAAUACAGUCGGGGGAUGACGGUACCGGAAGAAUAAGCACCGGCUAACUACGUGCCAGCAGCCGCGGUAAUACGUAGGGUGCAAGCGUUAAUCGGAAUUACUGGGCGUAAAGCGUGCGCAGGCGGUUUGCUAAGACAGAUGUGAAAUCCCCGGGCUCAACCUGGGAACUGCAUUGGUGACUGGCAGGCUAGAGUAUGGCAGAGGGGGGUAGAAUUCCACGUGUAGCAGUGAAAUGCGUAGAGAUGUGGAGGAAUACCGAUGGCGAAGGCAGCCCCCUGGGCCAAUACUGACGCUCAUGCACGAAAGCGUGGGGAGCAAACAGGAUUAGAUACCCUGGUAGUCCACGCCCUAAACGAUGUCAACUAGUUGUUGGGGAUUCAUUUCCUUAGUAACGUAGCUAACGCGUGAAGUUGACCGCCUGGGGAGUACGGUCGCAAGAUUAAAACUUAAAUGAAUUGACGGGGUCAUAGCUGUUUCCU